CAAAUGUAAAAAUCAACUAGACAAAAAAAAUUGAUUAUGUUACCUCAAAUAUAUGUGAUUUUUGGAAAUUGUUAGAGUUUUUGGAAGCUUCUCAAAUGUGUAGUGGAAGUGGAUGUGAUAGUGAAAAAUCUUCAGUAGCAUGUACGGUAUUGUUUGAGCCGAAAGAACUAUAUAAGAAACAGGCAGCAAUAUAUCGAUGUGACUCAUGUCGACAAGUGAGAAAAAAAAUAGGUAAUCAAUUGUAUAGACCAAAAUUGGAUAUUGAUGCGAAAAAUAAAAAACUAAAACUUGAGCUAAACUCAGUAAAAAAAAAAAAUAUUCGCUUAACUAAUAAGGUACGUAAUUCGUUCUCUACAUGAUUGUUAGUAAAGUAAAAAGAAAGUUAUUUUAUUCAUAACCUUCGUAAAAUUCUUAAUAACUUUAGAAUGAAACUUUAAAACUAACCGUUGAAGAAGAAAGACAAAGGUGUGCUCAUGCUUCUGAAAUACUAAUCAACCAAGAAACUUUAAACUUGCCUCCGAUUCAACAAGAAACGGUUAAAGCUUGUUUUGCAGCUGCAAAAGCUAAAAACUCUAAACAACGGAGAUAUACAAUUGAGUUCUUAUACACCGGAAAAGGAUCUCAACACUCGAGCUAACACGCACUAGUAUUCAUGUUUCAACCUUUUCAAGGUGAUUGGGUGCAGGCGAUAGGCUGCUUUCUCAGCCGAAGUGCGACUAUCAGCGAAAUUCUCCAUAAGUUGAUAAUUGAAUGUGUAUUACUGCUGGAAAAUGCUGGUUUUAAAGUUGAUGCAGUUACUUGUGAUGGAGCUCAAUGGAAUCGAGGCGCAUGGAAGUUAUUUGGUAUCAACAGACUCGAUAGAGUCUGGCGCCAAGUUCCGUUCUCAAGUCAGACUACCGAGUGUGUAUAUACCAAUACACGGAUUGAAGACUACAAAUUUAGUUGUCAGCAUCCACAUGAUCCGAGUCGGCGUUUAUGGUUCCUCUCGGACUUUUCCCACUUACUAAAAAACCUGAGAAAUAAAAUCAUGGAAACACCGUUCUUUUGGACACCAGAUGGUUUUGUUUACCGUAAAUAUUGGGAGGCAAUGUUAACUUACAAGAAUAGCUUCUAAGCAAAUUUAUCCGUAACAUAUAAAUUAACACCUGGUCACAUAAAACCGGAGCAGUAUCAAAAAAUGAACGUUCUUUUGGCUAUGGAGUUGUUUUCAAAGCGAUUGAGAGUGGCAAUGGAGAUGUAUGCGGACAAUUGCCCCGAGCUUAGAAGAUGUGAAUCUACAAUUGCAUUUAUAGAGAGGGUUGAUCGAUUUAUUACUGCUAUGACUUCAAGAACUCCGAUGAAUGCUUUACGCUCUGAUCCUUCGUGUGAAAUGAGAAAGGUAUUUUAUAU